rnacentral:lncRNA from 1 species
GCAGCUAAAACUAGGGAGAAAGUCAAAGCUGUAUACGGCACUUGUAAUGUGAGUAUUUUCUCUUCCACAGGACCACAACAGAUGUUGGUGCUGGGGUAGAGUUAUCAGUCUUUGGGGAAGAGGUUCAAGCUCCUCACACACAGAUGAAGUGCUGCUAGGCAUUCAGAGAUGCUAUUUCAGCUCUCCAUCUAAGGGAGGUGGGACUGGCAACUCUGACAUGCAAGGGAGGAUGAGGAGAACUGUAAGUAUAUGUGCUAUGCCAGCAACCCCUGUGCAGCAAUCAGCACAGGGCAGAGAGUGCCACCAUUUGGUUCCAUGCAAUCAGCAAGGUGAGGCGCUAAGGUUGAACUUCCAUAGGAUAGAUACAGCCCUAAUUAAUUAACUUUUGUGGAACGCUGUGAUUAUCAGAGAUCCUAGAAAUCCAUUGCCAUGGAAAAACACAGAAUUUGCAUUUUUACAGAGAAUCUU